rnacentral:rRNA from 1 species
AACGAACGCUGGCGGCAUGCCUAACACAUGCAAGUCGAACGAGACCUUCGGGUCUAGUGGCGCACGGGUGCGUAACGCGUGGGAACCUGCCCUUAGGUUCGGAAUAACUCCCCGAAAGGGGUGCUAAUACCGGAUAAUGUCUUCGGACCAAAGAUUUAUCGCCUUUGGAUGGGCCCGCGUUGGAUUAGCUAGUUGGUUGGGUAAAAGCCUACCAAGGCGACGAUCCAUAGCUGGUCUGAGAGGAUGAUCAGCCACACUUGGACUGAGACACGGCCCAGACUCCUACGGGAGGCAGCAGUGGGGAAUAUUGGACAAUGGGCGAAAGCCUGAUCCAGCAAUGCCGCGUGAGUGAUGAAGGCCUUAGGGUUGUAAAGCUCUUUUACCCGGGAUGAUAAUGACAGUACCGGGAGAAUAAGCUCCGGCUAACUCCGUG